rnacentral:rRNA from 2 species
UUUAUUUCCUUUNUNGUUGCUGGUGCUUGCACCUGAUUGAUUUUGGNCGCCAACGAGUGGCGGACGGGUGAGUAACACGUAGGUAACCUGCCCAGAAGCGGGGGACAACAUUUGGAAACAGAUGCUAAUACCGCAUAACAACGUUGUUCGCAUGAACAACGCUUAAAAGAUGGCUUCUCGCUAUCACUUCUGGAUGGACCUGCGGUGCAUUAGCUUGUUGGUGGGGUAANGGCCUACCAAGGCGAUGAUGCAUAGCCGAGUUGAGAGACUGAUCGGCCACAAUGGGACUGAGACACGGCCCAUACUCCUACGGGAGGCAGCAGUAGGGAAUCUUCCACAAUGGGCGCAAGCCUGAUGGAGCAACACCGCGUGAGUGAAGAAGGGUUUCGGCUCGUAAAGCUCUGUUGUUAAAGAAGAACACGUAUGAGAGUAACUGUUCAUACGUUGACGGUAUUUAACCAGAAAGUCACGGCUAACUACGUGCCAGCAGCCGCGGAAUUACA